rnacentral:rRNA from 1 species
UACAGAGGUCUCAAGCGUUGUUCGGAUUCAUUGGGCGUAAAGGGUGCGUAGGUGGCGCGCUAAGUCGGGUGUGAAAUCCCGGGGCUUAACCUCGGGACUGCAUUCGAUACUGGCGUGCUUGAGGACUGGAGAGGAGACUGGAAUUUACGGUGUAGCAGUGAAAUGCGUAGAGAAUCGUAAGGAAGACCAGUGGCGAAGGCGGGUCUCUGGACAGUUCCUGACACUGAGGCACGAAGGCCAGGGGAGCAAACGGG